UUUGAUCCUGGCUCAGAUUGAACGCUGGCGGCAUGCUUUACACAUGCAAGUCGAACGGCAGCGGGGAGGAGCUUGCUUCUCUGCCGGCGAGUGGCGAACGGGUGAGUAAUACAUCGGAACGUGUCGAGAAGAGGGGGAUAACCACCCGAAAGGGUGGCUAAUACCGCAUAAAUUCUGAGGAAGAAAGCUGGGGACCUAGGAAUAGGCCUAGCGCUUUUUGAGCGGCCGAUGUCGGAUUAGCUAGUUGGUGAGGUAAAGGCUCACCAAGGCGAAGAUCUGUAGCGGGUCUGAGAGGAUGAUCCGCCACACUGGGACUGAGACACGGCCCAGACUCCUACGGGAGGCAGCAGUGGGGAAUUUUGGACAAUGGGGGCAACCCUGAUCCAGCCAUGCCGCGUGUAUGAAGAAGGCCUUAGGGUUGUAAAGUACUUUUGUUAGGGAAGAAAAGUCAGCUGUGAAUAAUGGCUGAUACUGACGGUACCUAAAGAAUAAGCACCGGCUAACUACGUGCCAGCAGCCGCGGUAAUACGUAGGGUGCGAGCGUUAAUCGGAAUUAUUGGGCGUAAAGCGAGUGUAGACGGUUAUUUAAGCCAGAUGUGAAAUACCCGAGCCUAACUUGGGAGGUGCAUAUGGAACUGGAUAGCUAGAGUGUGUCAGAGGGAGGUAGAACUCCACGUGUAGCAGUGAAAUGCGUAGAGAUGUGGAAGAAUACCGAUGGCGAAGGCAGCCUCCUGGGAUAACACUGACGUUGAGGCUCGAAAGCG
rnacentral:rRNA from 1 species